UAUUAAAGUUGUUGCAGUUAAAAAGCUCGUAGUUGAAUUUCGGGAUCAAAUUGUCGGUCGUGCCUCGGUACGUACUGGCGUUAUUGGUUCCUCCCUUCUGAAGAACCGCGAUGUCAUUAAUUUGGUGUCGCGGGGAAUCAGGACUGUUACUUUGAAAAAAUUAGAGUGUUUAAAGCAGGCUCGCGCUUGAAUACAUUAGCAUGGAAUAAUGAAAUAGGACGUUUGAUUCUAUUUUGUUGGUUUCUAGGAUCGACGUAAUGAUUAAUAGGGAUAGUUGGGGGCAUUAGUAUUCAAUUGUCAGAGGUGAAAUUCUUGGAUUUAUUGAAGACUAACUACUGCGAAAGCAUUUGCCAAGGAUGUUUUCAUUAAUCAAGAACGAAAGUUAGGGGAUCGAAGACGAUCAGAUACCGUCGUAGUCUUAACCAUAAACUAUGCCGACUAGGGAUCGGAUGAUGUUAAUUUUUUAAUGACUCAUUCGGCGCCUUACGGG
rnacentral:rRNA from 1 species